rnacentral:rRNA from 1 species
GAUGAACGCUGGCGGCGUGCCUAAUACAUGCAAGUCGAGCGAACAGACGAGGAGCUUGCUCCUCUGACGUUAGCGGCGGACGGGUGAGUAACACGUGGAUAACCUACCUAUAAGACUGGGAUAACUUCGGGAAACCGGAGCUAAUACCGGAUAAUAUAUUGAACCGCAUGGUUCAAUAGUGAAAGACGGUUUUGCUGUCACUUAUAGAUGGAUCCGCGCCGCAUUAGCUAGUUGGUAAGGUAACGGCUUACCAAGGCAACGAUGCGUAGCCGACCUGAGAGGGGGAUCGGCCACCUGAGAACGUAAACACGGUCAAGCCUCCUAGGGGGGGCACAAGUCGGGAUUCUUCCACAAUGGGCGAAAGCCUGACGGAGCGGCGCGGGGGGAGUGAUGAGGGUCUUCGGAUCAUAAAACUUUUUUAUUAGGGAAAAAAAAUGGUGAAAGGAAAUAUGCACGUCUUGAGGGUACAUAAUAAGAAAGCCGCGCCUAACUACGUG